CACUUACACUAGGGGAUGUAGCAGUGUAUCAACUCGUGUUUCCAUCAUUAAAAUAACUUGCAACUGGUACUACCUAUCUUAAGGAAUGCAAUCUUGUCCUGUGGUCCUGAUCAGUUUGUAAUACACACGUGAAAGGUGCCAUAUAAAAACGGCUGCUGCCUUCAUAGGAUUGGAGAACGUGUUGAUUGACAGAACAAGAGGGAAAGUGUUUCAACUCUUGAAAAUUAUUGCUUUUGUAUUACUCACUUUGCUAGAAUGUAAUUGGUUAAAAGCGUGUAUACUUGGUUCACAUCACUUGAUGUUUUGUUUGCUUUACUCUCUACGUUUAUUAUGCAUUCAUUCCAAAAUGAAUCAGCUGAUUCUUUUCUCUGUUGAUUGUGAAUGAGGAUGUGAAGGCAUUUACUUGUACUUAGUCGCAUUAUUUACAGAAAUGAAAUGGGUUUGUUUUAGGUAAUUACGCAUAUUUGGGAGUGAAGUGAAAAAUAUGCAUUAUGUUAUUUAUAUGCCUGCAACUUGAAGCUCUUAGUGGAUAGUUGAGAGACUUGGAUGUUGAUGUGUUUUUAAGUCUAUAAGGCUCAAGUUGAGCUUGGCUGAUUCUUGACAUUGCUGUUUGUGUUUUGCUUGAUGAGUGCCUAAACGAGUUCCAAAGUUCAAUUAAAUUUCUACAUUUCAGUGCUUUUAUUGAAACUAAUGUAAGUGAAUAAAGCUUUGACUUUUCAUCUUUCCCUUCAGAAAUAUGCCAGUGGCUUACAUAUAUAAUGCAAAUGUAAGCAAGGUACUGCUUGAAGUACUUUUUUUUUUCUUUCUUCUUUUUUCUUUUUUUCUUUUUUAGGGUAGCAAUAAAAAGUUGGAUCCUAAACCAGUGCCUCAGUAACCAGUUGAAUGAUAAUAACAUCUGUUGUUAAAUAUACAUCUGCUGGAGGGAAGAAACUAUGAGAAUGCCUGCUGUGGCAAGCAUCAAGAAGACCAACACAGUAGGAAACGGAUUUUUUUGUAAUGAAGAGGUACACUCCGUUUUUUAGUGCAUCACUGGAGUGACCGAGUACAAAAUCUACCAUUCCUACCACCCGAUGACAAUAUGAUGGACAAGUUUUGCUAUGAUUUUUUUGUGGACUUUACGCUUGCAAGUGAUGUGUAAAGAAUAUAGGUGUACAAAAACGCAAGCACUGCUUUUCAUUGCCAGCAGGUCUGUCAUCUUAUGAACUGCAGGUAGAUUAGAAAAGCAGUGUUGUAUGUUUUCUGACAAACCUUUUGUAUAAAUAUGUUUAUUUUAUACAGAACCUAACUAGAAGUCUUGAAAAAUGUGUUGCAAAUGUAUUUAUUGUGUAGAUUAUGUGUUUCAUAUACAGUAUAUAUAGCUGAAGACUUGGUUCUAUAAAGUUAAUUAACAUGCCUGAAAAAAGGUGGGGCUGUACCUGCUGCCUUCAUUCUAGAAAACUGCAUGACAAUUUUAGAUGGUAAAUGAUAUACAUGUGAGAGACCAAUUUUUCUUCUUUUUUCUUUAUUUUUUGUUUCAUAUAUACUCCUAUCAGCAGAAAUUAUUGGAGUGACAGAUUCCCCAUUAGCUUACAAGGGUCUGUAAAAGUGGUAGUUGGAGAAAAGCUGAAUCAGGUUACUGCAAAUUCUCAUUUCACCAGUUACCAGGUGGAGUUGUGUUUUGUUAUUUCUUUAUUUAUAUAUUAUUAUUAUUAUUGUUAUUAUUGUUAUUAUUAUUAUUAUUAUUAUUAUUAUUAUUAUUAUUUAUUAUUAUUUAUUAUUAUUUAUUUAUUAAAAAAAAAAAUUGUGGGUAUGUAUUUUUCUUUCUUUCUCUUUUUGAGGGUAUCUUCUGGGCAACUGAAAUUGUUCAAUAAUUGCUGACCAACCUCAUCUGUCUUUAUUCCUACCAGCUUGUCUCGGGUAAAAAAGGAUUACGCACAUUGCGAUUCUCAAGAAGUGAGUGACGUCAUCUUGAACCAGUGCCAUGCUUAAAGAUCAAAACUAUAAAGGAUAUUCUAAUUUAGUGGGGAGGAAGGGACUGUGCACAUCAGUUUUGAAAUAAUACAGGUAUAUAAGCUUCCAGUUUUUAUUAUCCUAUAAACAGCAUAUAUACACAGUUUUUGGGAGAAAGAAAAAGAAGAAGAAAAAAAAAAAAGUUUGCUCUCAUAACAUGUUACAAGGAAUUCUAAGUCUGUAAGGCACUUAUACGUAUUUCUAUGCAAUUCUAAAUGUUGUGGGUCAUGUAAAGAUGAGUGCAAAUGCUCCAUAAUAAUGGUAUUAAAGCAGGAGUGUGCUCACAAUACAGAAAGGUUUAUUUAGUAAUGGUCAGAUGAUAUGUUGAGGAUAUGUAAAUCAUGGUAUUGUAAAUAGUUUUAUUUUGUAGAUUGUGAAUUUACAUGAUAACAAUUAGUUGUAUAGGUCAGGUGACUUGUUGUUUGAGAACUUGUAAAUAAUACUGUAGUAGGAUUGAUUAUUAGUUAUCCUAGACAGUCUGUACCUUGUCAACCAUAAGCCAAAGUGGAAAGUCUCCAACCAUUUAAUACCUCUUUAUACUGUCAUUACUUAAUUAUUAUUUUUUCUUCAGCAAAUGAUAAUUUAAACCUUCAAUUGAUAUGAUUCAAGAACAGGAAAAAGUCUUUGAUACCAAUUGUUACUGACAUUCUAAACCCUUGCAGAGCAUUUUGUACCAUGAAGUUUAGUAAAAGGUUCAUUCCAAGACACAGUGUCCUUGUGUCAUACGACCCUCCUCCCCCAUCCAGCCCCAGAUGAAAGACAUACGGGAAUUAUACACUGAUAAAAUAAUGUUGCUGAUGUGGAAAAAGUAGUUCAGUUUGCUGUGAGUCUUAGUGUAUUCUGAGAUAAGGAAGCAGGAUGCAAGUUUAAUUAAAAAAGAGAGAAAUGUAUAAUUGAUCACUAUACCCAGUGGCAAGCCUCCAUUCCGGCUGCUGGCUACAUGAGGUACUCCAUACUGUCAAUACCAAAUAUGACGAAUCGUCAUUUUAUAUAAACAUAAUUGUCAAGUAAAUGAAUAAAAGUAAGGAUUUU